rnacentral:rRNA from 1 species
AGUCGAGGGGUAACAUUGGUACUUGUACCAGAUGACGACCGGCGCACGGGUGAGUAACGCGUAUACAAUUUGCCUUAUGCUGGAGCAUAGCCUUUAGAAAUGAAGAUUAAUACUCCAUGGUAUUAAGAUAUGGCAUCAUAUUUUAAUUAAAGAUUUAUUGGUAUAAGAUGAGUAUGCGUCCUAUUAGCUAGAUGGUAAGGUAAUGGCUUACCAUGGCAACGAUAGGUAGGGGCCCUGAGAGGGGGAUCCCCCACACUGGUACUGAGACACGGACCAGACUCCUACGGGAGGCAGCAGUGAGGAAUAUUGGACAAUGGAGGAGACUUUGAUCCAGCCAUGCCGCGUGCAGGAAGACUGCCCUAUGGGUUGUAAACUGCUUUUAUAUAGGAAGAAACACUCCCUCGUGAGGGAAUUUGACGGUACUAUAUGAAUAAGCACCGGCUAACUCCGUGCCAGCAGCCGCGGUAAUACGGAGGGUGCAAGCGUUAUCCGGAAUCAUUGGGUUUAAAGGGUCCGUAGGCGGGCAAUUAAGUCAGAGGUGAAAUCCCACAGCUCAACUGUGGAACUGACUUAGAUACUGGUUGUCUUGAGUUUUAGUGAAGUAGAUAGAAUAUGUAGUGUAGCGGUGAAAUGCUUAGAUAUUACAUAGAAUACCGAUUGCGAAGGCAGUCUACUAACUAACAACUGACGCUAAUGGACGAAAGCGUGGGGAGCGAACGGGAUUAGAUACCCCGGUAGUCCACGCCGUAAACGAUGGAUACUAGUUGUUGGACUUAUGUUCAGUGACUAAGCGAAAGUGAUAAGUAUCCCACCUGGGGAGUACGUUCGCAAGAAUGAAACUCAAAGGAAUUGACGGGGGCCCGCACAAGCGGNGGAGCAUGUGGUUUAAUUCGAUGAUACGCGAGGAACCUUACCAGGGCU